UAACGAAUAUUCCGCAAUGCACGAAAGUGUGACGGAGCAAUGCCGCGUGCAGGAUGAAGCCCCUCGGGGUGUAAACUGCUGUCAGGGUUCAGGAAUUUUGACCAGACCCAAAGGAAGGGCCGGCUAACUUCGUGCCAGCAGCCGCGGUAAUACGAAGGGCCCUAGCGUUAAUCGGAAUCACUGGGCUUAAAGGGUGCGCAGGCGGACAGGUCAGUGUCUUGUGAAAUCCCACGGCUCAACCGUGGAAUUGCUUGGCAUACUGCCUGUCUUGAGCCCGGCAGGGGCCGUCGGAACUCUAGGUGAAGCGGUGAAAUGCGUAGAUAUCUAGAGGAACGCCAAAGGUGAAGACAGACGGCUGGGCCGGUGCUGACGCUCAGGCACGAAAGCGUGGGGAGCGAACGGGAUUAGAUACCCCCGUAGUCC
rnacentral:rRNA from 1 species